AUCCAGUUGAUGAGUCUCGAAUAGGGCGAAACGCGCGUCGUGGAU
rnacentral:hammerhead_ribozyme from 1 species